rnacentral:rRNA from 1 species
UACAGAGGGUGCGAGCGUUGUUCGGAAUUAUUGGGCGUAAAGCGCAUGUAGGCGGGAUGUUAAGUCGCGUGUGAAAGCCCCAGGCUCAACCUGGGAAGUGCGCGCGAAACUGGCAACCUUGAGUGCUGGAGAGGGUGGCGGAAUUCCCGGUGUAGAGGUGAAAUUCGUAGAUAUCGGGAGGAACACCAGAGGCGAAGGCGGCCACCUGGACAGACACUGACGCUGAGGCACGAAAGCGUGGGGAGCAAACAGG